GCUUAACAUGUUCAAACAUGCAGCUCCCUGCCUUUUACAAGACCAGAGUUCAUCUGCUGACUUCAGCAUCUACACAUUGUAAAACACUUCUUACCACCUUUAUCUAAGGUAACACGUGAGCAUUUCGGAUCUUGGUGAUAGCAAGUCAGAGAGGGUAGCUGCAUUAAUGGAAAAGAGGACAGGGCAGGGAGCAUAGAAAAGAUUUCAAAGGAAUAUUGUUUAUACUUACAACUUUCAAACUGCAGCUUGGAACUUCAGUGCAAAUCGCUUUGAGAGAUGAAACAAAGUUAAAAAAAGAAUGGAGACCUGUUAAGUUUAUGCUUUGAAAAGGAGAGCUGCUGCUGUGCAUGGUGCCUACAUCCUUUAAUAGCAGGAGAUAGACUGUUCAAGGAGGAUGCUACCUUUUCCAGAGAAAUUCUGCAGCGAAUGGGAUACUGGCCUCCAUGGUGCUAUUUUCUCAGCUGGUGAGAUGCCUGUUGUCAUUAGUUCGAGCUUUGCAUUCCUGAGCUUUAGUGAAAGCAGGUCAGGACAGAGAGAACUAGACAAAGGGAAUACACUUCUAUUGUAGCAGUGUCAAGACAUUCAACCUCAUGAAAUCUGAGCUCUAUAAUGCUAGAAAGUAAAAGUGAAAACUGGAAGCUGGCCAGGUAGGGAAGCUGCAGCAGUAUCUCAAAUACAGAGCCAUAGUGCUAAAGAAAAUGUUGCAAAAUUCACACAGUUUGCUUUCUUGGAUCUUCCUGAAUCUGAAGGAUUUCUGAAUUGUUUGGGCAUGAGAACAAAGAAAGGAGGAAUACAUCAUGUGCAACACUGCAGAAGUUCUACGUACAUAGACCCUUUCUAAUGUAGGGAGAGAGCAGAGGGCUGGAUGAUGUGAGAUUGAGGUUCCUGCAGCUUGUGGUACUCAGGAUUCUGUCGAUGUGACAGAGGCUGUAUGUAAUGAGUUUAUCUGAAAAACCCUCUUCUGGAUUUGAAAUAGUUUACACUUUAUAUUAGCCAAACCAUUUUUUUUUGUUGAAAAUUUUCAACAAAACAUACCGACAUGCAAAACUGGAAGAAAGCACAUAACCAUAUGUCUAGUUUGGCCUAAUGGCAAUCAGUCAAAGUGCAUGGUAGAACGGCAAGCUUAACGAGAUGCUCAAUUCAUAUGAACUGUUACUGAGGGACCACUGGAUACUUGCUUUCUGAAUUGAAUGGUUUUAUAAAAAUGUGGCUCCAGUUCUGGGUGAUGGGUGCCUUUUAACGGUUCAUACAAACUGUGUUUAAAAAUAAUUUGGCUUUGUUUUUAGCAUUUCUCAGUUAACCAAAAUAUGAUACAACUUAAAAUGUGAUCUGUGCUGAAUUUGGAAAGAACUGUCAUGUAUCUGCCUAUUUCAGUAAAACUGUGACAUCUCCCAUGCUUCAUAUGAGAACUCACGCCACGCUGUCUUCUGCAUGCACAUAUACUGUCUCUCUCUCUCCUGUCAAAUAGCUGUGUAGUUGUGGUAUCAAAGCAGUGGAUACAACAGUGUAAGGAACAGGAUUCAUGGAUAUGUAGGUUCUUGUAUUCCUGGGUCUCAGUCACUUGCAGAUGGUCAGACUAGACAAGUUCUGAGCUCCUUUGGCAGGCAGAUCCAAAGCUUAGGACCCUGAACUUGAAAUGUCUUCUUAGGUCCCAAUUCUGCUCCUAUUUAAGUCAAUGGCAGAACUCUCACUGAUUUCAAUAAGAGCAGAAUUGGGCCCCAAGAAAUUGGUCCACAUAGCAACUAAUCUCCUGUGGGUUCAUUCUCUCCAGCAGACCUUAUGGCAUCGUGAUGGCAUGCUAGCCUGCAC